GGUAAUACGAAGGGACCUAGCGUAGUUCGGAAUUACUGGGCUUAAAGAGUUCGUAGGUGGUUGAAAAAGUUGGUGGUGAAAUCCCAGAGCUUAACUCUGGAACUGCCAUCAAAACUUUUCAGCUAGAGUAUGAUAGAGGAAAGCAGAAUUUCUAGUGUAGAGGUGAAAUUCGUAGAUAUUAGAAAGAAUACCAAUUGCGAAGGCAGCUUUCUGGAUCAUUACUGACACUGAGGAACGAAAGCAUGGGUAGCGAAGAGGAUUAGAUACCCUCGUAGUCCAUGCCGUAAACGAUGUGUGUUAGACGUUGGAAAUUUAUUUUCAGUGUCGCAGCGAAAGCGAUAAACACACCGCCUGGGGAGUACGACCGCAAGGUUAAAACUCAAAUGAAUUGACGGGGACCCGCACAAGUAGUGGAGCAUGUGGUUUAAUUCGAAGAUACGCGCAGAACCUUACCAACACUUGACAUGUUCGUCGCGACUCUAAGAGAUUAGAGUUUUCGGUUCGGCCGGACGAAACACAGGUGCUGCAUGGCUGUCGUCAGCUCGUGUCGUGAGAUGUUGGGUUAAGUCCCGCAACGAGCGCAACCCUCACUUUUAGUUGCCAUCAUUAAGUUGGGCACUCUGAAAGAACUGCCAGUGAUAAGCUGGAGGAAGGUGGGGAUGACGUCAAGUCCUCAUGGCCCUUACGUGUUGGGCUACACACGUGCUACAAUGGUAUCUACAACAGGAAGCAAGACUGCGAAGUUAAGCAAAUCCCUAAAAGAUACCUCAGUUCGGAUUGCACUCUGCAACUCGAGUGCAUGAAGCUGGAAUUACUAGUAAUCGUGGAUCAGCGUGCCACGGUGAAUGCGUUCCCGGGUCUUGUACACACCGCCCGUCACACCAUGGGAGUUGGUUCUACCUUAAGGCAAGGUUUCAAACCCUUGACCACGGUAUAGUCAGCGACUGGGGUGAAGUCGUAACAAGGUAGCCGUAGGGGAACCUGCGGCUGGAUUACCUCCUUU
rnacentral:rRNA from 1 species